CGGACGGGUGAGUAACACGUGGAUAACCUACCUAUAAGACUGGGAUAGCUUCGGGAAACCGGAGCUAAUACCGGAUAAUAUAUUGAACCGCAUGGUUCAAUAGUGAAAGACGGUUUUGCUGUCACUUAUAGAUGGAUCCUCGCCGCAUUAGCUAGUUGGUAAGGUAACGGCUUACCAAGGCAACGAUGCGUAGCCGACCUGAGAGGGUGAUCGGCCACACUGGAACUGAGACACGGUCCAG
rnacentral:rRNA from 1 species